rnacentral:rRNA from 1 species
AGCGUAGGUGGCCUAACAUGUCAACUGUGAAAACCCGGAGCUCAACUCCGGACUUGCAGUUGAAACUGGUAGGCUUGAGGACGGUAGAGGAAGACGGAACUGCCGGUGUAGGGGUAAAAUCCUUAGAUAUUGGCAGGAACGCCGGUGACGAAGGUGGUUUUCUGGGCCGGUUCUGACACUGAUGCUCGAAAGCCAGGGGAGCGAACG